AGUAAAAGUCGUAACAAGGUUUCCGUAGGUGAACCUGCGGAAGGAUCAUUACAGAAUACGCCUCGGCGCCUUCCCAACCGUGUUUACCAUCCGUGUUGCUUUGGUCGCGCCCGCGGCCAAAGACCAAACUCGUGAUUUUGUGUCGUCUGAGCAAAACUAAAUAUUAAAACUUUCAACAACGGAUCUCUUGGCUCUGGCAUCGAUGAAGAACGCAGCGAAAUGCGAUAAGUAAUGUGAAUUGCAGAAUUCAGUGAAUCAUCGAAUCUUUGAACGCACAUUGCGCCCCUUGGUAUUCCGGGGGGCAUGCCUGUUCGAGCGUCAUUAACACCCCUCAAGCCUGGCUUGGUCUUGGGGCUCGCGGUUCCGCGGCCCCUAAAAUCAGUGGCGGCGCCGGUCGGCUCUCAGCGUAGUAACUUUUCUCGCUUCAGGGUCGGGCGGCGGCAGCCAAAACCCCCAUUUUUUCAGUUUGACCUCGGAUCAGGUAGGGAUACCCGCUGAACUUAAGCAUAUCAAUAAGCGGAGGA
rnacentral:rRNA from 1 species